ACUCCUAACAUUUGCACAAGCCAAACUUUGAUCAAAUCCACACCAACCCUAUACAUGCCAUAUAAACCAUAUUGAAUGUUUCAAAAACUUCUGGAAUAAGCUAGAUAGUGUGACUUGAGUGUUGAUCUGAUUUCUCAACCUUCCAAUAAUCUACAAAGACAUUAAACAACACACAUAAGCUUAAUGAAGCUUAGUAAGUUUGAUGGGUUAAACAUAAAUCUUACCGAACCUACUAUAACAAACCAAAUAAAUAAAUUCAUUCAUGUUAACUCCCUGUCAGUCACAACUUCAGUCAAUGAAUACACUUGUUUCAGA
rnacentral:lncRNA from 1 species